UGGCCAUCCGAGUUGUAAUCUAGAGAAGUGUUACCCGCGUCGGACCGUGUAUAAGUCUCCUGGAAUGGAGCGUCAUAGAGGGUGAGAAUCCCGUCUUUGACACGGACUACCGAGGCUUUGUGGUAUGCUCUCAAAGAGUCGAGUUGUUUGGGAAUGCAGCUCAAAAUGGGUGGUAAAUUCCAUCUAAAGCUAAAUAUUGGCGAGAGACCGAUAGCGAACAAGUACCGUGAGGGAAAGAUGAAAAGAACUUUGGAAAGAGAGUUAAACAGUACGUGAAAUUGCUGAAAGGGAAACGCUUGAAGUCAGUCGCGUUGGCCGGGAAUCAGCCUUGCUUUUGCUUGGUGUACUUUCUGGUUGACGGGCCAGCAUCAGUUUUGACCGGUGGAAAAAGUUCAGGGGAAUGUGGCAUCUUCGGGUGUGUUAUAGCCCUUGUUCGUAUACAUCGGUUGGGACUGAGGAACUCAGCACGCCGCAAGGCCGGGUCUUUGACCACGUUCGUGCUUAGGAUGCUGGCAUAAUGGCUUUAAUCGACCCGUCUUGAAACACGGACCAAGGAGUCUAACAUGCCUGCGAGUGUUUGGGUGGAAAACCCGAGCGCGUAAUGAAAGUGAAAGUUGAGAUCCUUGUCAUGGGGAGCAUCGACGCCCGGACCUGACGUUUUCUGACGGCCCUGCGGUAGAGCAUGUAUGUUGGGACCCGAAAGAUGGUGAACUAUGCCUGAAUAGGGUGAAGCCAGAGGAAACUCUGGUGGAGGCUCGUAGC
rnacentral:rRNA from 2 species